rnacentral:lncRNA from 1 species
CACCACGUCACCGGCCAGUGCGGCUGCCCCCCGGGACUGACCGGCUCUGGAUGUGAAAAAUCCUGCCUGCCUGGAACCUUCGGAGAGGGCUGUGCUCAGAUCUGCCAGUGUUCUGGAGCCACCCAGGAAUGUCACCCGGUCACCGGUGCCUGUGUCUGUGCCCCCGGCUUCCAUGGCCCCUCCUGCCAGCUGGGAUGUCUGGACCUCGAGCUGUACUUUUAGAUGCAGAAGCUGCUGUUUCUU